rnacentral:rRNA from 1 species
GAUGAACGCUGGCGGCGUGCCUAAUACAUGCAAGUCGGGCGAACGGACGAGAAGCUUGCUUCUCUGAUGUUAGCGGCGGACGGGUGAGUAACACGUGGAUAACCUACCUAUAAGACUGGGAUAACUUCGGGAAACCGGAGCUAAUACCGGAUGAUAUUUUGAACCGCAUGGUUCAAAAGUGAAAGACGGUCUUGCUGUCACUUAUAGAUGGAUCCGCGCUGCAUUAGCUAGUUGGUAAGGUAACGGCUUACCAAGGCAACGAUGCAUAGCGGACCUGAGAGGGUGAUCGGCCACACUGGAACUGAGACACGGUCCAGACUCCUACGGGAGGCAGCAGUAGGGAAUCUUCCGCAAUGGGCGAAAGCCUGACGGAGCAACGCCGCGUGAGUGAUGAAGGUCUUCGGAUCGUAAAACUCUGUUAUUAGGGAAGAACAUAUGUGUAAGUAACUGUGCACAUCUUGACGGUACCUAAUCAGAAAGCCACGGCUAACUACGUG